CCAACGGCCCUCUUUAGGGCCACAAUUGCGACAAAUACGAAUCUA
rfam:Heligmosomoides polygyrus genome assembly, scaffold: HPBE_contig0010557